rnacentral:rRNA from 1 species
UACGGGGGGGGUAAGCGUUGUUCGGAAUUACUGGGCGUAAAGGGCUCGUAGGCGGCCAACUAAGUCGGACGUGAAAUCCCUCAGCUUAACUGGGGAACUGCGUCCGAUACUGGAUGGCUUGGAUUUGGGAGAGGGAUGCGGAAUUCCAGGUGUAGCGGUGAAAUGCGUAGAUAUCUGGAGGAACACCGGUGGCGAAGGCGGCAUCCUGGACCAAUAUUGACGCUAAGGAGCGAAAGCCAGGGGAGCAAACGGG